GAUGAACGCUGGCGGCGUGCUUAACACAUGCAAGUCGAACGGUGAAGCAGGAGCUUGCCCUUGUGGAUCGGUGGCGAACGGGUGAGUAACACGUGAGCAACCUGCCCCUGACUCUGGGAUAAGCGCUGGAAACGGCGUCUAAUACUGGAUAUGUGAUGUGACCGCAUGGUCUGCAUCUGGAAAGAAUUUCGGUUGGGGAUGGGCUCGCGGCCUAUCAGCUUGUUGGUGAGGUAAUGGCUCACCAAGGCGUCGACGGGUAGCCGGCCUGAGAGGGUGACCGGCCACACUGGGACUGAGACACGGCCCAGACUCCUACGGGAGGCAGCAGUGGGGAAUAUUGCACAAUGGGCGGAAGCCUGAUGCAGCAACGCCGCGUGAGGGAUGACGGCCUUCGGGUUGUAAACCUCUUUUAGCAGGGAAGAAGCGAAAGUGACGGUACCUGCAGAAAAAGCACCGGCUAACUACGUGCCAGCCGCCGCGGUAA
rnacentral:rRNA from 1 species